rnacentral:ribozyme from 14 species
AACAAAAGGAAAAAAAGCGAAAAGAAAAAUAGAGAAACUCGUGAUUCGUGUCCAUGUUUUCUUGUGUAUUUUUCUCUACAGUUAUUUCGAUUUUUAAAGCAAAUAAUUA